AACGAACGCUGGCGGCAGGCUUAACACAUGCGAGUCGAACGCCCCGCAAGGGAGUGGCCGACGGGGGGGUAACGCGUGGGGAUCUACCCAACCCUACGGAAUAACGCCUUGGAACGGGUGCUAAUACCGUAUACGCCCUACGGGGGAAAGAUUUAUCGGGGAUGGAUGAGCCCGCGUUGGAUUAGCUAGUUGGUGGGGUAAAGGCCUACCAAGGCGACGAUCCAUAGCUGGUCUGAGAGGAUGAUCAGCCACAUUGGGACUGAGACACGGCCCAAACUCCUACGGGAGGCAGCAGUGGGGAAUAUUGGACAAUGGGCGCAAGCCUGAUCCAGCCAUGCCGCGUGAGUGAUGAAGGCCUUAGGGUUGUAAAGCUCUUUCACCGGAGAAGAUAAUGACGGUAUCCGGAGAAGAAGCCCCGGCUAACUUCGUG
rnacentral:rRNA from 1 species